rnacentral:rRNA from 1 species
AACGCUAGCUACAGGCUUAACACAUGCAAGUCGAGGGGCAGCAUGGUCUUAGCUUGCUAAGGCCGAUGGCGACCGGCGCACGGGUGAGUAACACGUAUCCAACCUGCCGUCUACUCUUGGACAGCCUUCUGAAAGGAAGAUUAAUACAAGAUGGCAUCAUGAGUCCGCAUGUUCACAUGAUUAAAGGUAUUCCGGUAGACGAUGGGGAUGCGUUCCAUUAGAUAGUAGGCGGGGUAACGGCCCACCUAGUCUUCGAUGGAUAGGGGUUCUGAGAGGAAGGUCCCCCACAUUGGAACUGAGACACGGUCCAAACUCCUACGGGAGGCAGCAGUGAGGAAUAUUGGUCAAUGGGCGAGAGCCUGAACCAGCCAAGUAGCGUGAAGGAUGACUGCCCUAUGGGUUGUAAACUUCUUUUAUAAAGGAAUAAAGUCGGGUAUGGAUACCCGUUUGCAUGUACUUUAUGAAUAAGGAUCGGCUAACUCCGUGCCAGCAGCCGCGGUAAUACGGAGGAUCCGAGCGUUAUCCGGAUUUAUUGGGUUUAAAGGGAGCGUAGAUGGAUGUUUAAGUCAGUUGUGAAAGUUUGCGGCUCAACCGUAAAAUUGCAGUUGAUACUGGAUAUCUUGAGUGCAGUUGAGGCAGGCGGAAUUCGUGGUGUAGCGGUGAAAUGCUUAGAUAUCACGAAGAACUCCGAUUGCGAAGGCAGCCUGCUAAGCUGCAACUGACAUUGAGGCUCGAAAGUGUGGGUAUCAAACAGGAUUAGAUACCCUGGUAGUCCACACGGUAAACGAUGAAUACUCGCUGUUUGCGAUAUACGGCAAGCGGCCAAGCGAAAGCGUUAAGUAUUCCACCUGGGGAGUACGCCGGCAACGGUGAAACUCAAAGGAAUUGACGGGGGCCCGCACAAGCGGAGGAACAUGUGGUUUAAUUCGAUGAUACGCGAGGAACCUUACCCGGGCUUAAAUUGCAGAUGAAUUACGGUGAAAGCCGUAAGCCGCAAGGCAUCUGUGAAGGUGCUGCAUGGUUGUCGUCAGCUCGUGCCGUGAGGUGUCGGCUUAAGUGCCAUAACGAGCGCAACCCUUGUUGUCAGUUACUAACAGGUUCCGCUGAGGACUCUGACAAGACUGCCAUCGUAAGAUGUGAGGAAGGUGGGGAUGACGUCAAAUCAGCACGGCCCUUACGUCCGGGGCUACACACGUGUUACAAUGGGGGGUACAGAGGGCCGCUACCACGCGAGUGGAUGCCAAUCCCCAAAACCUCUCUCAGUUCGGACUGGAGUCUGCAACCCGACUCCACGAAGCUGGAUUCGCUAGUAAUCGCGCAUCAGCCACGGCGCGGUGAAUACGUUCCCGGGCCUUGUACACACCGCCCGUCAAGCCAUGGGAGCCGGGGGUACCUGAAGUGCGUAACCGCGAGGAGCGCCCUAGGGUAAAACUGGUGACUGGGG